AUACGGAGGGUGCAAGCGUUAAUCGGAAUUACUGGGCGUAAAGCGCGCGUAGGCGGUUUAGUAAGUCGGAUGUGAAAGCCCUGGGCUCAACCUGGGAAUUGCAUUCGAUACUGCUUGACUAGAGUAUGGUAGAGGGAAGUGGAAUUUCCGGUGUAGCGGUGAAAUGCGUAGAUAUCGGAAGGAACACCAGUGGCGAAGGCGACUUCCUGGACUGAUACUGACACUGAGGCGCGAAAGCGUGGGGAGCAAACAGGAUUAGAAACCCGGGUAGUCC
rnacentral:rRNA from 1 species